AAGUGUAUAGGCUCAAGGCUCGAACCAUAGAAUGACACUGAACACGCUCUGCGCUUUCAGCUGUAGGAAAACUGCAGUCAGACCGAACAGAAGAAUAUAUAGUGGACAGCUUUAUCACAGAGAACUCUACAUUUGUGACUGGAGAAAAUGAUGCUUUGUCAGUAAGUGACAACACUGCUGAAGACUUACUUCAGGCAUCAAUGGAUAGCAGUAUUUCAGCCCUUUC